AGAGUUUGAUCCUGGCUCAGAACGAACGCUGGCGGCAGGCUUAACACAUGCAAGUCGAACGCCCCGCAAGGGGAGUGGCAGACGGGUGAGUAACGCGUGGGAAUCUACCUAUCACUACGGGAUAGCUCCGGGAAACUGGAAUUAAUACCGUAUACGUCCUUCGGGAGAAAGAUUUAUCGGUGAUGGAUGAGCCCGCGUUGGAUUAGCUAGUUGGUGGGGUAAAGGCCUACCAAGGCGACGAUCCAUAGCUGGUCUAAGAGGAUGAUCAGCCACAUUGGGACUGAGACACGGCCCAAACUCCUACGGGAGGCAGCAGUGGGGAAUAUUGGACAAUGGGCGCAAGCCUGAUCCAGCCAUGCCGCGUGAGUGAUGAAGGCCCUAGGGUUGUAAAGCUCUUUCAGUGGGGACGAUAAUGACGGUACCCACAGAAGAAGCCCCGGCUAACUUCGUGCCAGCAGCCGCGGUAAUACGAAGGGGGCUAGCGUUGUUCGGAAUUACUGGGCGUAAAGCGCACGUAGGCGGAUAUUUAAGUCAGGGGUGAAAUCCCGGGGCUCAACCCCGGAACUGCCUCUGAUACUGGGUAUCUUGAGUUCGGAAGAGGUGAGUGGAAUUGCGAGUGUAGAGGUGAAAUUCGUAGAUAUUCGCAGGAACACCAGUGGCGAAGGCGGCUCACUGGUCCGAUACUGACGCUGAGGUGCGAAAGCGUGGGGAGCAAACAGGAUUAGAUACCCUAGUAGUCC
rnacentral:rRNA from 1 species